GACGGAGGAUGCAAGUGUUAUCCGGAAUCACUGGGCGUAAAGCGUCUGUAGGUGGUCAAAUAAGUCAACUGUUAAAUCUUGAGGCUCAACCUCAAAAUCGCAGUCGAAACUAUUAGACUAGAGUAUAGUAGGGGUAAAGGGAAUUUCCAGUGGAGCGGUGAAAUGCGUAGAUAUUGGAAAGAACACCGGUGGCGAAGGCGGCGACCUGGUUCAUUACUGACGCUGAGGCGCGAAAGCGUGGGGAGCAAACAGG
rnacentral:rRNA from 1 species